GUCAGUCUUUCAGUUUCCUUCAGUGCCCAUGGGCAGAGCAUGCUUGAAACCAGUCUUUAUCAAUUCAUAUGGCAUGCUAUUUUGGAAUUGGCCCAGACGUUUGCAGUGUCAAGUGAAGGAAGCUCCUCCCAUAAGAUUGCAAACCUGGAGUCUGAUGAGCGUGAGUGAGUUUCAAGAAAGGAGCAGAAUGCUGAAGAUGAAGCCAGAAUUAAGCCAAGUUCCUGGCUUUUCCCAAGACCUUCAAGGACACAAUUUACCUCGGAAUCAGCUGUAAAGGAGGAUGAAACCGAUGUUUAAGAAUGGGACAGUGAUAUUGCAUCAGUUUGUCUCCUUCAUUUGAUUCCACCAUCACCACAAGGCUGCAAGGGACCUGGAGAAAUGUCCUCCUAUCAAGCUGAAAAACAUCUUCAAAAAGGCACUAAUAAGAACACCUUGAUUGCAUAGAAGAGACCACACAGCCAUAUACCUGCUCGCUGAUGGGACAACGAGGAACCGUGUUCAUGGAUGCUACACAACUGUCGACAAGUAUCUUGCUGCAGUCUUGUUCAAAGCUACCUGUCAUAUUUGUUAAUGUCUAGGUAAAUUUGAUGAUUUUGUGUUUUAUUAACUAUGUUAUGUUUCCAUGCAACACUUAAUGAAUGUGACUGACUAA